GGAAUAUUGGCCAAUGGGCGCAAGCCUGAUCCAGCCAUGCCGCGUGCAGGAAGACGGUCCUAUGGAUUUGAAACUGCUUUUAUACAGGAAGAAACACACCGACGUGCCGGGACUUGACGGUACUGUAGGAAUACGGAUCGGCUAACCCCGUGUCAGCAGCCGCGGUAAUACGGAGGAUCCAAGCGUUAUCCGGAAUCAUUGGGUUUAAAGGGUCCGUAGGCUGGCUUAUAAGUCAGUGGUGAAAUCUCCCAGCUCAACUGGGAAACUGCCAUUGAUACUGUAGGUCUUGAAUUAUUAGGAAGUAACUAGAAUAUGUAGUGUAGCGGUGAAAUGCUUAGAUAUUACAUGGAAUACCAAUUGCGAAGGCAGGUUACUACUAAUAUAUUGACGCUGAUGGACGAAAGCGUGGGUAGCGAAC
rnacentral:rRNA from 1 species